rnacentral:rRNA from 2 species
UUUGAUCCUGGCUCAGGACGAACGCUGGCGGCGUGCUUAACACAUGCAAGUCGAACGGAAAGGCCCUUCGGGGGUACUCGAGUGGCGAACGGGUGAGUAACACGUGGGUAAUCUGCCCUGCACUUCGGGAUAAGCCUGGGAAACUGGGUCCUAAUACCGGAUAGGACCUCGAGGCGCAUGCCUUGUGGUGGAAAGCUUUUGCGGUGUGGGAUGGGCCCGCGGCCUAUCAGCUUGUUGGUGGGGUGACGGCCUACCAAGGCGACGACGGGUAGCCGGCCUGAGAGGGUGUCCGGCCACACUGGGACUGAGAUACGGCCCAGACUCCUACGGGAGGCAGCAGUGGGGAAUAUUGCACAAUGGGCGCAAGCCUGAUGCAGCGACGCCGCGUGGGGGAUGACGGCCUUCGGGUUGUAAACCUCUUUCAGCAGGGACGAAGCGCAAGUGACGGUACCUGCAGAAGAAGCACCGGCCAACUACGUGCCAGCAGCCGCGGUAAUACGUAGGGUGCGAGCGUUGUCCGGAAUUACUGGGCGUAAAGAGCUCGUAGGUGGUUUGUCGCGUUGUUCGUGAAAUCUCACGGCUUAACUGUGAGCGUGCGGGCGAUACGGGCAGACUGGAGUACUGCAGGGGAGACUGGAAUUCCUGGUGUAGCGGUGGAAUGCGCAGAUAUCAGGAGGAACACCGGUGGCGAAGGCGGGUCUCUGGGCAGUAACUGACGCUGAGGAGCGAAAGCGUGGGGAGCGAACAGGAUUAGAUACCCCUGGUAGUCCCACGCCGUAAACGGUGGGGUACUAGGUGUGGGUUUCCUUCCUUGGGAUCCGUGCCCGUAGCUAACGCAUUAAGUACCCCGCCUGGGGAGUACGGCCGCAAGGCUAAAACUCAAAGGAAUUGACGGGGGCCCGCACAAGCGGCGGAGCAUGUGGAUUAAUUCGAUGCAACGCGAAGAACCUUACCUGGGUUUGACAUGCACAGGACGCCGGCAGAGAUGUCGGUUCCCUUGUGGCCUGUGUGCAGGUGGUGCAUGGCUGUCGUCAGCUCGUGUCGUGAGAUGUUGGGUUAAGUCCCGCAACGAGCGCAACCCUUGUCUCAUGUUGCCAGCGGGUAAUGCCGGGGACUCGUGAGAGACUGCCGGGGUCAACUCGGAGGAAGGUGGGGAUGACGUCAAGUCAUCAUGCCCCUUAUGUCCAGGGCUUCACACAUGCUACAAUGGCCGGUACAAAGGGCUGCGAUGCCGCAAGGUUAAGCGAAUCCUUUUAAAGCCGGUCUCAGUUCGGAUCGGGGUCUGCAACUCGACCCCGUGAAGUCGGAGUCGCUAGUAAUCGCAGAUCAGCAACGCUGCGGUGAAUACGUUCCCGGUCCUUGUACACACCGCCGGUCACGUCAUGGAA